AAGAAACGGACAGAAAGAAAGAGGGAGAUAGUGAAAAUGGCGACAUGGGGUGCGUUUUGGGGAACAAGGGUAAUGGAAAUAGUGAAGAAGCAUGAUUCCGGCGGGCUUGUUUGGAAGAGAAUAAAGCUCACUACUACUCGCAAAGCUAAUGCCAAGAAACGUCUUCGCCGUGUUUGGCAGAAUGAAGCUGUCUUGAGGGCAUGUUCUGAACCACCUCCAACUACAGAGGUAGAUGUUGGACAAAUAAGUAAUGUGCAAUUAAAAACCAGUAAGAGUUAGCUCAGAAAGAAGUGACCGAGUAUGAAGAGGUAAAAUGAACUGUGGGUGACAGAGCUGCUUGCAAGGUCUUUAUUAUACUUGGUCAACUACAUUAGUGUAUUACCCCUGAAUUUUGCUUAACCUGUUAGCCUACUUUGUUAGCAUGAAGUGAACUGAUUUGGAUGUCUCACUUUUACAUGGGUUACACUAGAUCAAAGUAUACUUUUCUUAGCUUAGCUGUACUGAGUAUUUAAAUCUGUGACAAAUUUUAUCAAAUGCAAUCUAUUGUGUUUCUGUUUGUGUUUGAUCA